AGAGUUUGAUCCUGGCUCAGGACGAACGCUGGCGGCGUGCUUAACACAUGCAAGUCGAACGGAUCACGAUGAUUUCGGUUGUUGUGGUGAGUGGCGAACGGGUGAGUAACACGUGAGUAACCUGCCCCGAACUCUGGGAUAACGCUUCGAAAGGGGUGCUAAUACCGGAUAUUGAAUUCCUGCUGCCUGGUGGGGGUUUGAAAGAUUUUUUGGUUCGGGAUGGGCUCGCGGCCUAUCAGCUUGUUGGUGGGGUGAUGGCCUACCAAGGCUUCGACGGGUAGCCGGCCUGAGAGGGCGACCGGCCACACUGGGACUGAGAUACGGCCCAGACUCCUACGGGAGGCAGCAGUGGGGAAUAUUGCACAAUGGGCGAAAGCCUGAUGCAGCAACGCCGCGUGCGGGAUGACGGCCUUCGGGUUGUAAACCGCUUUCAGCUCUGACGAAUUUGACGGUAGGAGCAGAAGAAGCACCGGCUAACUACGUGCCAGCAGCCCGCGGUGAUACGUAGGGUGCAAGCGUUGACCGGAUUUAUUGGGCGUAAAGAGCUCGUAGGUGGGUUGUUUGCGUCGGAAGUGAAAACCUAGCGCUUAACGCUGGGCUUGCUUUCGAUACGGGAUGACUUGAGGAAGGUAGGGGAGAACGGAAUUCCUGGUGGAGCGGUGGAAUGCGCA
rnacentral:rRNA from 1 species